GACCAGACCAGCAGUGAAACCAUCUCCUGUAGAAAGUCAAGCCAUGGCUUGACUAAAGAGUGGAUGAGUCCUUGGAGUCAAGAGAACAACAUGUCACAUAUAUUGGCUUUAAUCACGAUUGAUUUUUUUCCCCUGGGAUUGUAACAAUCAUGUCAUCUUUCACAUUUAAAAUUUUGAAAGGUGAACAAGCCAUUGGGGGAAGCUAGGGUUGGAAUAAGAGAAAUAGAGCAGGUCAAAUGCUGAGUAUUCCUAGCCGGGGUAACGUGUCACAUCAUAAAUAUUAGGACAGGAAGUUACUGAAGGUGGGCUUAUUGGUACCAGUCAGGCGAAACUGAUGCAUCCCCUGCUUUGAAUUUCUCGCUUAGGAAUAGAGAUGGUCUUUGGGCAACCUCAGGAGGGGAGGGAGAGGGUGGAGGGGAAACAGGUAUAUCCAGGACAGAUUCUAGAACCAUAAACAGAAUGCAUAUUGUUCCUGGGCCAGACAAUAGAGCUCUUCUUCAUUCAACACACCUUUACAGACUGCUUGCUCUAUGCCAAGGAUCUUCCCCUGGGGAUAAUAGCUUGUCAUCAUUAGUCACGUCUCCAUCUUUAUUAAAUGUUUCCGUCAGUCCAUGCUUGCUAGGUGCUCCAAGGGAGUUAACUGGAAUCAGCAGUGGCCUCCCUGAAUUCCGUGGAAAAGACCAGAUGCAUAUGCUUCUGCUAUUACGGUGCUCAGUGUUUGGAAAGGAGCAGUUUUGCAUUGUUAUGCAAACACCAAGGUUUGCAACGUGACCAGAUUUAUUUAUGGCCUCUGGAGAGAUGUACUACUUCUAGUGCUGACAGAGGUCAGGUCUUCCAGGAUCCUGGCAGCUGCUGAGCAAGUGAGGAAACAAAGAGCCCCCCAGUGUGGUGGGUGAGCGUCAGAGCCGGAAAUCCAGGGAGGGCAUGACAUUGAGCCUUCCAACAUCCAAUCUUUCCAACGUCUUCACAGCCGGAUCUCCUUGUCAGAGCUCUGGAAGAAUGGUAUUUUGUUUCCUCCCCUCCAUUGGCAAGCGAGUCCCAGGCAUCCAAAUGCAGCAAGACAGGACACAUCUUGUAAAGAUUUGCUGCUUAAGUGCUGAACAUGUUCAGACAAGAUGGAAGAAAUUGUUCAAAAAGGGAGAUGGGAAGAAAAAAAAUUCUCUGAAGAUGGAGGAGUAUCCAUGUCAGGAUGAAGAAAUUGGCAAGUGGAUAAAUGUAACAAAACAGAAAAAGAGAAGGAAAGAAAAUUCACUAGGGUAG
rnacentral:lncRNA from 1 species